rnacentral:misc_RNA from 1 species
AAAGUCGUAACAAGGUCUCCGUUGGUGAACCAGCGGAGGGAUCAUUACAGAGUUGCAAAACUCCCAACCCUUUGCGAACGAACUAGACAGUUGCCUCGGCGGGGAGCCCUUCAGGGGGCGGCCCGCCGGAGGACCACUAAACUCUUGAAUUUUUGGCCUCUCUGAGUAACAAAGACAAUAAGUCAAAACUUUCAACAACGGAUCUCUUGGUUCUG